AUACUUACCUGGCAGGGGAGACACCAUGAUCAUGAAGGUGGUUCACCCAGAGUGAGGCUCAGUCAUUGCACUCCGACUGUGCUGACCCCUGCGAAUUCCCCAAAUGGGGGAAUCUCGACUGCAUAAUUUCUGGUAGUGGGGGACUUCAAGCACCCGUGCAAACCCUGU